UGGGGAAUAUUGCACAAUGGAGGGAACUCUGAUGCAGCGACGCCGCGUGAACGAAGAAGGCUUUCGAGUCGUAAAGUUCUUUUAUAUGGGAAGAUAAUGACGGUACCAUAAGAAGAAGCCCCGGCUAACUACGUGCCAGCAGCCGCGGUAAUACGUUGGGGGCUAGCGUUGUCCGGAAUCACUGGGCGUAAAGGGUUCGCAGGCGGAAAUGCAAGUCAGGUGUAAAAGGCAGUAGCUUAACUACUGUAAGCAUUUGAAACUGCAUAUCUUGAGAAGAGUAGAGGUAAGUGGAAUUUUUAGUGUAGCGGUGAAAUGCGUAGAUAUUAAAAAGAAUACCGGUGGCGAAGGCGACUUACUGGGCUCAUUCUGACGCUGAGGAACGAAAGCGUGGGUAGCAAACAGG
rnacentral:rRNA from 1 species